rnacentral:lncRNA from 1 species
CAGACCUCUUGGAGUCUAAGGAAUGAAAUCACCUUUGGAAUAGAGGCACUGGGAGAGAGACAGCUGGUUGGCCAGCAGAAUACUCCAACCCAUCAUCUUGGUCUCCACAGUACUGUAUACACAUCUGUGGGAAUCAUGAGUAUUAGUUGAAUCAUAACUGAACGCACAUAGACGGAAUUUCAUCGUCUUCAAGUUCAUUAGAGAGCUACAGAUAGAAAGCAGGAAGAUAACGAUGCUUUGGGAGGAGGGAAUGUUCUGGGAAAUUAAAGGAAUGAUGUCAAAUUGGCCCCAUCCUCUCAUCACCUGACUUCCCACCUCCAUGUUGCCAAGGAACAGCUUUUACAAAAGAUUCGUGUUUAUGUCAGGAUAGAUGAAUGUUUUUCCUGGAUUCUGAGCUAGACCGACUCACAACUGACCUGUAAACACUGUAGUACUGCGACAGUACUGUGCAUUUGAAGAGGAUUUUCUGCUGUUUGGAUACAAUUUCGCAUCGUUUGUCUUAUUGUAUCUUCACGUUGUCCUGGGAAAAAGGCAGGGACAGAUCCUACU